CAAUAGCGUAUAUUUAAGUUGUUGCAGUUAAAAAGCUCGUAGUUGGAUUUCGGAUGGGAUUUGCCGGUCCGUCGUUACGAUGUGCACUGGCCAGUCCUAUCUUGUUGUCGGGGACUAGCUCCUUGGAUUCACUUCCUGGGACUAGGAGCUGACGAGGUUACUUUGAGUAAAUUAGAGUGUUCAAAGCAAGCCUACGCUCUGAAUACAUUAGCAUGGAAUAACGCGAUAGGACUCUGGCUUAUCUUGUUGGUCUGUGAGACCAGAGUAAUGAUUAAGAGGGACAGUCGGGGACAUUCGUAUUUCAUUGUCAGAGGUGAAAUUCUUGGAUUUAUGAAAGACGAACUUCUGCGAAAGCAUUUGUCAAGGAUGUUUUCAUUAA
rnacentral:rRNA from 1 species